rnacentral:lncRNA from 10 species
CUUCUUUCUUUCCUUCCUUCCAAAGUGUUUUUCUCAUGUGCCUACUGUAUGGAAGGCAUUGCUCUAGGUUCUAGAGAUGCAGAGAUAAAAGGUGACUUCCAUCUUUGAGAAGUGGACAGUGAGACUACCCAGUGGAAUCAUUUAUAGAAGCAUGAGGAGCUGAGGUCAUGUUAAAGGACUCUAUAAAGACACCAUCAGCAAAAUUCAGACAGCGGGAAACUACAGGGCAAACACCGGACUUCCUCAGUAAAUACACUACAACGGGCAAAAGUAAGAGGGAGGGAAGAUCUAUAGAUUAAAGGGGACUUAAGGGACAUAUCAAUCAAUCAUCAUGUAAGACCUUAUGUGGAUCCUGAUUUAAACAAAUGCUGUUAGAAAGAACUAUUAUAAGGCAAUCAAAAAAACUGGAACAUUUGUGGAUAUUUGAUUAUUUUAACUAAUUAUAAGACCUGCCUGUCUGGACAGUUGAGCAGGCCCUGCUCUGCCCCUGUGGCUCCUGCAGACAGCAUUGGUUCCUCUCUUCCUGGGUUACAAGCGCCUGCCUGGCCCUCCGCUUGGAUACUGAUGUUCUCCUAGCUCUUGGCUGUCUCUCUGGCGUCUCACCAGCUGGGCUUCUCUGCCUAAUUCUGAAUGUUGGUGUCUCUGUAGCUCCUUGCUCUGAACCAACAAUCUUCUGAGAAUUGCAGCCCAGCAGGCGUCUCCAGUUAUUCUUUUCAAAACAUUAACUGUACACAUCUAUGUUUGUGAUACUAAUUCCUCUAACUUUUAACUACUAAAGUGAUGGAGAAACAAAUAAAAGAAGACUUUGCACAGAUAGUGCCCCCGACCCCACGUGAACAUAGCUGUCAUUCCAACUACGGAUUGGGGUGGCCCAGGGGACAGGGCUGCUUGGUAAGGCCUGGAUGUGGCAAGCAAAGCCACACCUUCCAUUCUCUCUGCACAAAUAAGACAAGAAAACUCAUUUGUGCUCAUGGGAGCCAGCCCCCUCCUCCAUGAUACCCCAGACAUUAUCCAGAUGGCCAGUUUCCAGAGCAUUUAUUAAACAACCAUUUACGGACAGCCCACCAUGAGGCAGCCACUGAGUGCUGAAAUUGAAUUUAUUUUCUGGAUUAAGUCUCAGGAAAGAUUGGAAAGCCUUGUCAGUGAGGCCUCGAGGUAGAAUUGCUAUGCCUUUGCAGAAUAAAAUGUGUGCUGUUUUGUGUACUGCUAUUUAUUGUUCCUCUUGCUUCCUUGGAGGGAAAAAUAAGAUCUCAGUCCUGUGGGGUGCCGCCAAGCAAGGCAGCUGCAAGGGUUUAGAGAUCAGCUUGAAGGGGCAAGAGUUACCUCUUUUUUCUGAGGCCAUCUUAAUUCACUGCCGUGGUUCAUUUAAAGUCGUAUUUUAGGGGAAAGGAGAGAGGGUGUUUUUCUGUUGUUGUUUUUAAAGAUAAAGUAAGGGAUUGAUUAGAAGACUUUUUCUUCUGUAGUAGAAUCUACAGAUCAGCCCCUAGUACGCAUGCUCCCUUCUUUUUGCCAACAGAACCCAGAUUUCAGCUCUGGCCUCUCAUCUAGCAUGAGUUUCCCAGGCCCCCCGGCAGCUGGCUAUGGGGCCAAGUUCUUUCCCAGGGGAUUUAAGGAUAAAUUAUGUCCUGAACUUAUGGGUCUUACCCCUCUAAUGUUUCAGUGUUGACACCUCUAUAUCACCCAGACACAGUGCCAGGAACCUGCAGGGACUAUGAAGACAAGGGCAAUGAUCUAGAGAAGCAGUCUGUGACCCUUGAUGACCUUAUGAGCUGGGCCACCGGCCCACCAUGAACCAGCUGCCUCUCUCUGGAUGGCCACAUAAGAGAAAAGUUAACCCACUGAAUUUUGAAUGUUUCUUUGUUACAGCAGCUUAGCCUCUACCCUAACUAAUACAUUCUUUACUACAGUAAAAUUGUUAAAGUCCUAAAUUCUUUAAGUGUCUUUGUUACAAAUUAUCAGCCUUCCCCUUCCCUUCACCCCCAAACUCACCACUCUGUAAGUCUCCUCUGCUCUGGGCAGCACACUCGAGAAUCCUGUUACAGCUACUUGCAAAGUUUUUGCUCUUUUACAUCCUGGCUGCUAGAGAAGCUUUAUUUCCCUGCAACACCUUAAAAUGUACAUGUAAAACAGUAAAUGGCUUACUACUGAAAACACAGCUUACCCUUGAGAAGUUCCAUUUUUUCAUGCCUUGAUCUCUCUAGGUCGAAGAGUAUGUCUUGGUUAUAGAAAUUCACGUCAGAGCAGCGAAGUGGCUUCUGUUUAAAGCAGAAUGUUUUCAGGAGUGACGUGUCAACCUGGAGGAUCUUGGGAUCCACUCUUGCCCUUCCUGGCCCCACCUGCAGCUGUUCUGGUUACACCUUCAGGGGUGUGAGAGGAUUGUUACUUGAUGAGAAGCACCCCACCAAGAUGAGAGGUGGGGGGAUUGCAUAAAGACAUAUUUCCUUUCACGUUAAAAGAGAGAAAAUAAAAGAGCAAGGGAAAUCACAGUAAUAUAAUUUUUUAAAAUCCUUGUUAGGCAGCACUUCAGGCAGGAGAAAGGUGUUGAGAAAUCAAGUAAACAAUGACAGCACACCAGGACUCCCAAAAGGCUAGGUGUUGCUUGUGGAAGCCGCCUGAGAAACAGAAAGGACACACUCAGGAUAAAAAUGAAAUAAAAAGUGGAUCAUGGUGGUGAGAAGAAAGGAAAUUCCACCUCUGAUCCGCAUCUCACAAAUGCAUAAACUGCUUUAUUGUUUUGCUGAGAAGCUCACAAAAUGCAUAAACCACUUUACUGAAACAAAGACUAAUACCCUUGAUGGCUCCUGCCACCUCUGCCAGCCCUGCUCAGAGGGAUGAGAACCUUCCAUCUGCCCUUGGCCCAUCCAGACCCUCAACCAGUUUGGGUCAAGAUAGCCUGCAAAGUUCUGGGCUCCCAACUGGCCAGCCAGUGGAGUCUGGAAGCAAUUCUGCAGCCGUGACAUCUAAUGCAUAUGGGGUGAGUCUCACAUACACCCAUGUCCACUGAGCAGCAGCUUCCCCCAUGACCCUCGCCAAUCUGGCAAGUAGAAAAACAAUGGCUCUGGGCACGGGUUCAAAUCCCAGCUCUGCUACUUCCCAGUUGAAUGAUCUUGGACAAAUUACCUAACGGUUCUCUGUCUGUUUUCUCCCGUCAAUUCACAAGGCU